ACUUCAUCUAAAACUUGGAGACUUUUGACAGCGCCAACCACAGCUUGAUGAUCGAGUUUCCAUUCGUUUGCUAAUUCCAAAGUAUCAACACUGCCCUUCGUGUCCAAUAUAGAUAAAAUCCUUCUGUCUAAUGCUUCAGAACUCAUAAUAUACACCUAAAUUGUAAAACUACUAAUAAUUGUUGUUUUCAAGUUUCGGAGUGACUCAUG